GACGAACGCUGGCGGCGUGCCUAAUACAUGCAAGUUGAGCGCUGAAGGUUGGUACUUGUACCAACUGGAUGAGCAGCGAACGGGUGAGUAACGCGUGGGGAAUCUGCCUUUGAGCGGGGGACAACAUUUGGAAACGAAUGCUAAUACCGCAUAAAAACUUUAAACACAAGUUUUAAGUUUGAAAGAUGCAAUUGCAUCACUCAAAGAUGAUCCCGCGUUGUAUUAGCUAGUUGGUGAGGUAAAGGCUCACCAAGGCGAUGAUACAUAGCCGACCUGAGAGGGUGAUCGGCCACAUUGGGACUGAGACACGGCCCAAACUCCUACGGGAGGCAGCAGUAGGGAAUCUUCGGCAAUAGACGAAAGUCUGACCGAGCAACGCCGCGUGAGUGAAGAAGGUUUUCGGAUCGUAAAGCUCUGUUGGUAGAGAAGAACGUUGGUGAGAGUGGAAAGCUCAUCAAGUGACGGUAACUACCCAGAAAGGGACGGCUAACUACGUG
rnacentral:rRNA from 1 species